GGUAACUUCACGGCCAUCUUCCUCUUGCUGCCAGCCGCCAUCGAAUUCAUGGAAUUCAUCUGCGAAAAGGAAGGUACUCUCAUUUGUCCUUCUCAAGCCAAGACUCACUGAUAGACCACCCUGUUGUUACCAGUUCUGGAGAUAACUGACCCACCCAGUGUAUCCUGUACAUUGACUGACUUAAGUAACAGAGCAUUG